AAUGGCUCAACACUGACUUUAUUGGAAGGAGAGUCCCUUCGUAUGGUCUGUACUGUUAACAGUAACCCUCCUGCCAGGCUGAACUGGGCCUAUGAGAACCUAAUUCUGAGUCCCAUGCAGUCCCCAACUCCUGGAUUGUUAGAACUACCUCAAAUGCACCUGAGAUAUGAAGGAAAAUUCACCUGCUCUGCACAGAAUGUCCUCGGAUCUCAGCACAUGUCUCUGAACCUGCUCUUAUAUCGGAAACCAGGGCUGAUGGCAGAGGUGGUUCUGGUGGCUGUGGUUGAGGCAGCUGUUAAAGUCCUGCUUCUUGGGCUGUGCCUCAUUAUCCUCAGAAUGACCUGCCUGGCUCAGCAUGGCCACAGCCAGAUAGCCAACCCCAUCCUGAACCCUUGUCCCUGCCAAGCACGAUGAAGCUCCUGGUCUCGUCUGUACCCAGAUCCAGGCAUGGGUCUCUACCAUGAGCUCUCUCCACCAUUCUUCAUGCCAUGAAGAAGCACCACCUGGUCUCUCCCUCCCUCCCUCCCCCAACUCUCUGCUCACUCUGGACCAGUCUUACUCCUUUCUCUACCUGAAUACCCGAAUUCUGAUCAUCUCUGGGUUUCAAAUGUUUCUAGUCACAGAAUUCCCUUCAUCCACUAGCUCCAGUUAUUGACUGUGGCCCUCAGGAAUGACCUUCCUGAUGGAACCAUUGCCUACUUCCUCCACUACUGCCUGAACAAUCCUGAACCCUCACCAUAGAUGGAGAUGGGCAGACAUCACAGCCUGCAGCAGGAGCCUUGCAUGGUCUCGGUGCUGCUGGACUCUCUUCCCCAUGUUUCCUGUUUGCUGCAUUGUGAUUUUCCCUCUCAGCCUUCCCGUCCCCCAUGUUGAAAUUUGUAUGAGUUUCCACACCUCAAAGCCCUUCCCGAACCUCAGUCUCCCGUCCCUUAUCUGAGCACCUCAGCCUCUAGCGCAUAUUAUUCUGGGUAGGCAUGUGUUUGCCAUGCACCUCAGACCAUGUGCAGAAGUGACUCUAUUACUACAUGUGGACCAUUUUCCUGGGUGCCAGGUAUGCCCCAGGACACAGAACUGCUCCAUUCUGUUACCAAAGAUUGACUGAUGUAAAGAUGAGAACAGGAGUAAAAAUACGGCAGUGAGUUAGGAAAUGCCAACUGGAGAUGUGAGUGAGUGGGCAGACAACUGACGUAGGAGGGGCUGCGGACGCCAGUGAUGCUUGGGAAACUCUCCAAGGAGAGCAGGCAGCCUCUUUGAGUCUGUUGGAGGAAGACGCCUCAAGGAGAUGAACUGGGGAACAGUGUGCCCGAUGGCUUAGAGGCAGAAGCUAGCCUGCAGUGUGGUACCCACACAAAGACUGAGAUUUAGAGCAAAUGGAGGCAGAGGGAGGCAGUGGAAAAUGCUAACCUCUAGGGAACAAUAAGAAACAAGAGCCUUUGAGAGAAGCAGAGCUGUGGCUGGAUUUUCAUGUUAAUGGAAUCCCAAGGCUGGUCUGCUCAGAAUGUGCCAUAAUAGGUCCUGAACAGCUGAAAGAAGAGUGUGCCUGUCACUGUCACAAACGCCUGAGGAAAACAAUUCACUAGGAAGAAAGGUUCGGCUCAUGAUGGCAUCGUUUCACGGUCAUACACCCUUGCCAUGGGGCUGUGGUGACACAUCACGCUGUGGAAGGGACAUGUGGUGGAGGCCUGUGCAUCCCACGAAAGCUACGAGAGGCAAAAGAGACAGAGAGGAAUCAGCCUGCGUCCCAAGAUCCUUUUCAGGUGCACAUGCCCAGUGACCUCACUGCUCCACUGGUCCCCUCUCCCUACACAUUGCAUCACACCCACAUCACUACCAGCUGGGUGCCAAUCUUUAACAUGCAAACCUUAGGGCCCAAAGCUGUACUGAAGGGGCGGGGCUACUCAGCCUCCCGGAGGAGGUGCAGUGACAUGCACCUGGCAGGCCACCUGCGGAUGUGCGCUGCCACAGGCGGAAGCUCAGGCCAACAGAGAUCUAAUGGCUUUUGACCGUGAAGGCAGAAAAGAGCUGGGGCUGUGUCAGGGUGCUUCCUGAGCACCAGGAAUGGGGGUUCCUGCUCCCUCCAGUGGUUGGUGUGAAGGGAGGCAUCAGUUCUGAGAGGUGUCUUGCGUGCACACAGUGAUGUCGGCAGGGUUGUGUCAAGCUUGUGGAGGGAGGACGGGGUCAGAUUCAGUCAAUGCCAUGCUGGGAAAAGUGAUGCCCACAGGGGUGUGUACAGUGAGCACAGCCAGCCAAUGGGAAACACAGCUGUUCCCAAGGACCUUAGCAACAGCAAGUGUUUGCUUAUUAAUUGUGAUAAUUAUUUGAAUUGCCCUUGGAUAUUUUCACAUAGUAUUUUCAGCUUAUUAAAGUAAAUGUAAAAACUAAAAAAUUAGAGGUUAAAGAGAGAUGGCUUGAAGUUUAAAAUCCCUUACUGCUCUUGUGGAGCACCCCAGGUUUGGUUCCCAGCACCCACACGUUGGGUCACAACCUUCUGUAGCAGUUUCUGGAUUUCCUUUUCCAGACUCCUCAGGCACCAGACACAGUUGUGGUGCACAGACAUAUAGGCAGGCAAAACGUAAGUAACUUUAUUCAUGCAUAAACAAAAUUUUUAAGAUUGAAAGUUAGUGUCACAUCCUUAGCCAUCAGGGAAAUGCAAGUCAAAACAACUCUGAGAUACCAGCUUACUCCUGUCAGAAUAGCUAAAAUCAAA